GACGAACGCUGGCGGCGUGCUUAACACAUGCAAGUCGACCGAAGUGGCGAACGGGUGAGUAAUACGUUCGUAACCUGCCCUCCUUUUUGGGAUACGCCUUGGAAGCGGGGUCUAAUACCGACAUAAGGGGGAUGGGUUCGCGGCCUAUCAGCUUGUUGGUGGGGAGAUGGUGUACCACGGCGGUGACGGGUAGCAGGCCUGAGACGGGGCCCGGCCACAUGAAGACUGAGAUGAGUCCCAGACGCAUACGAGAGACAGCAGUGGGGGAUAUUGCACAAUGAGCUACAGCCUGAUGCAGAGACGCCGCGAUGGAGAAGAGGGCUUUCGGGUUGUAAACCUCUUUCUGUAUCGAACUGGUAAGUGUAGAAGAAGCGCCGGCUAACUACGUGCCAACAGCCGCGGUAAUUC
rnacentral:rRNA from 1 species